rnacentral:rRNA from 1 species
UACGGGGGGUGCGAGCGUUGUCCGGAAUCACUGGGCGUAAAGGGCGCGUAGGUGGCUUGGCAAGCGCGUGGUGAAAGCCCGGGGCUUAACCCCGGGUCUGCAUUCGAUACGGGCUGGCUAGAGUGUGGUAGGGGAGAUCGGAAUUCCUGGUGUAGCGGUGAAAUGCGCAGAUAUCAGGAGGAACACCGGUGGCGACGGCGGGUCUCUGGGCAACAACUGACGCUGAGGAGCGAAAGCGUGGGGAGCGAACAGG